AUGCCUUCAGACUUGGACUGGAACUACAUCCCCCUGCUCUUCUGGGUCUCCAGCUUGCAGAGGAAAGAUUUCAGGACUUCUCAGCCUCCACAAUUGCAUGAACUAAUUCCUUAUGAUAAAUCGCAAUCUCUCUCUCUCUCCUACACACACACACACACACACACACACACACAUGUAUCCUCCUAUUGGUUCUGUUUCUCUGGAGAUCUCGACUAAUACAUGCACCUUUCAAUCAGAUUGGCCUAAUGCUGGAAGUGAGCCAUCCAUCUCUACUGUGCUGAAUUUCAACCUUUUAGUUGCCUGACCAUGGAGCGGUCUAGAUGGCCUGGGUAGCAGAAACAGUCAAAGGCUUAGAACAGCAGCUAUUUGUCCUCAUGUAUCUUAACAUUUUAGCAAGUAUAGCUAUAUCUGUGUGUGACAACAAACUAUAGAAUUUUCUUAUAAUUCUAAGGCAUUUUAUGUGUAUAUAUAUGUGUGCAAAAAUGCAUAUGCACACUAACAUAACUCCCAGAAAUGAUUUCCACUGACAAAUCAUAAUGAAUUGUAAAAAAUCAGUAUGACUAAUUUAGUACAUAAUACUAAUUAUUCUUAGAAUUUCCAUCACUAGGAGUCAAAUAUUAAUAAUUUUACCAUAAAAGUGGUGGUAAUCAGAAAAUAUUCUCACUUCUUAUGGAAAACUUUAAAGUUGAAAUGGUGCUGUUUCCAUUAAUAGCCUGGAUCUCAUUAAGUCAUUAACACAUUCUAAAUUCAAUGACAAAAAUUUGAAGUAAAGCAAGCUGCAAAAAGGAGGAAGCUUUAUUACACUUUAAAAUAUCUCUCUGCUUUGAGCUCAGGUUAAAGCUGACCAUACCAAAGACAUAAAAGUACUUUUUAGUGUGAAAUGACAUUUCUGGUCAUGUUUCUAUUGGAUGAGAAAUGUUAAGUUUAUGACAAUCAUCCAUCCUUAGUGUGAAAUUUUAUUUUUAUUAAAAAUGUGUUUAUUACUCAAGUAUUUAUAGAUUAACUAAUAUGCUAUCAUGAAUUUUUUUCAAAAGAAUUCAGUGGAUGGGUGGAGGAGUUGGAAGUAUGGAUAAAAUGAGAUUGGCUGUGUUUGAUAAUUAUUGAACCUGGUGGUGGGUAAUCGGGGAUUCAUUAUAUGAUUCUAUUUUUAUGUAUGCUUGAAAUUUUCCACAGUACAAAGCCCUUUUCUCUCCAUUUUCUAUUUUUUACUUUAGCCAUAAUUAUACUUGUGUGUCAAACUCAUAUUUUAAAAUGUAAAAUAAAAGAUCAUUAAGAUCGUAUGUAUCCA
rnacentral:lncRNA from 13 species